UUUGCACAGAAGUCACCCCUGUGUUGGCUCCGUCCGGCAGGUCCGGUCUCCUUGGUUACGGAGUCUCCGUGGUUACUAGGCAACGAUGCAAGGGGCUCGAGCUCACGUCACAGCUGUGGCCCACGUGACCGGAACUCAGAGCAGCCGCGGCUUCCGGCCUCGGGACGCCGGCUGGCGGGAGCGCACGGGGAGGACCUCACAAGUAUUCAGCACCGGUGGGUCACCGCAGUACACAGGAUCCAGCGCCCAGCAGAAGCAGCGCGGACCGGCUCCCUGGACUGGUUGGAAGCUGCAAUAAGCCACUUGAUACCCCAUCUGUGUAUCUCGGCAUGAUAUGACUGGGAUACUGCUUUGGUGAUUUGACAUAAUGUAUCAAUAGUAAUGACAUGGAGACUGCAUGCACUUCAGGGAGAGCCAGACCCUGCUCUCAACCUCUUAGCACAACAGAUUAGAGGAAAAAGCAAAGUCAGGUCUUUUUUUCAUGCAACAUGAUCGCUGCAAGACAGCCUCUGUUCCAUUAUUUAUUGCCAGUAUUCAAAACACAUUCGACUUGAGUACCACGUGACAUUACAGUACAUGCUUAACCGAUUCACUGCCACAAUAUAGGUGACGUGCAGGAAAUUCAAAAUAUUUUUUUGAAAUCAGCAAUUUUUUAUGGAUUCACUAUUAUGUUAAUCAGACUUAAUGAUGCUAUACUA